rnacentral:lncRNA from 1 species
AUGAGGAAAGUAAGCCCUAGAAGUGAAAGUGAACCAUCCAAGGUCAGAGGGCCUGCCGGGGCGGAGGCCGAGCGGGGCCGGGAGGGAGGUCGCGGCGCGCCGGGCCCUGGCCUAGGCCCGCCGUCGCGCCGUCUCCGCCCUCGAGGCCGGCCCGGGUCCGCCGCGGGUCUCCCUCCGCCGGGAUCCCCGCCCCGCCCCGCCCCGCCCCGCCCCGCCCCGCCCCGCCAGCCGCUCCCACGCCCCGCACGCGCGGGAACGCGGCCCCGGGCGCUCGCAGGGACCGCCAAGCCGCCGACCCCCGCCCCGGAGCGCCCCGACCCCGCCGCCCGCGCCCCGAGCCCGCACCCGCACCCGCCCGGGAGCCCCCGCGCCCCCGCGCACCCCCGCCCCCGCGCACACUCACCGCCGCCGCCCCCGGGGACGCGGGAGGUCGGGGCCGCCGCAGCCCUCCGCGCCGCAGCCUCCGGCGCCCGCCCCGCCCCGCCCCGCCCCGCCCCCGCCCCCGCCCCCGGCCGGGCCGCCCCGCGCCGUCAGCCGCCGGGAGGGAGGGGCCGCCGCCGCCGCCGCCGCGCCGCCGCCGCGGGGCUCCGGGCCCGAGGGGAGGCUGCGCCCUUGCAUCAGCCCAGCCGGGCUCCCUCCGGCCGCCGAGCACGUGCCCGCCCGCGACCCGGCCCUGGCGCACCCCCGCCCGCGCGGGCAGCCCCGGCACGUCCCGUCUGGCGCCGGCCGCGGAGGGGGCCCUGCACACCCCGGCCGCCCCCCCCCCCCGCCCCCCGCGCCACGGGGCCCCGGGCCUGCCGCGCACAGCGCCCGCUCCCCCAGGCCGCCCAGCGCACCUCCCCCGGCCCGGGCUCCAGGCCCCGCGACCACGGCCACGACCACGGCCACGGCCACGGCGCUGGGGGGGGGGGGUGCGCCCCCGGCCUUCCUAGAGGGCACGUGCCGAGUCACAGUGCGCAUUUUCACCUCCGACGGACGUUGCCCACUGGCCGGGCCUCCGAGGCCACGGGGCCCCCUUGCUGA